rnacentral:lncRNA from 1 species
AUGCUGUGCCAUGGGGCUCCACAGACCCACGCUGGAUAAAACGACGGGCCUCCAGCACAGAGCCCAGCACAGAACCAGCAGCCUGCAUGAUUUGUGCUACAAUCUACGCUGUCAUAUAAGGGAGAUUAGAAGUGAGAAGACUAGAAGUGGAUGGCACUCAUGGUCAGUGCUUCAGAGCAUCCCUGGAUGGAAUACAGAUAUUAAUCAGACAAGAGAGCAAGACAAAUCUGUAUAUCAGCACUGCAGUACUGCAAUACACAAUGAGAUCCGGGAACAUCACCUGAAAAGAAUCUACAGAGAAGAAGACGAGUCCACCUCAGACACUAAUGACUUCCACUCAGAUAUUUCGCAUAGUGAUAUCACUGCUUUGCAUGAAUGGCCCUCUACCCAUCAUACCUCACUUUCUGAGCCACCUUGUUCUAACUAUAGGGAUACAGACAAGGAUCUGGCAAUUAGUCGCUCUAUCUCAAAGCAUACUGGCUCCAUUGUUCUCAACCUCAAAGUGUCUCAGGUUGUUCUAAAGCAAGCUGAGCAGAGUCUGGAUAAUGUGGAGGCAGACCAAUUGGGCGCCCCAUGCUUUGAUGAGGUGGAUGCUCUGAUGAAGAGGGUGAACAUGGAAAAAGAGUGCAAUGUUGGUGUUGGGAAGGCUAUGGGGCCACCGUUUGAUAAUUAUAUAUCUAAGUGGACCAUUAAUAGAGAUGAGGAGGUCAGUCAGUACAGUUCAGCUCAAGAGGAGAGCUUCGAAAGCACAUCCUAUCCUAGUAGUGUACAGGAGGAGAAAAGGGACUUGAAGAGAGUUGAAACAACAAAAAGAGGACAGCAACAGACAGGACGUCAAAAGUCUGAGAGGUUAUAUGCACAGCUUGGGUUGUCUAAGGCUCAGAAAGACAGCACAGGCCGAUCUUGUCUAGAAGAACAUUUCCAAACAAAACCCUCAUGGACCAGUGAGGUUCGUGAAAUGGUGGCCCUAAUGACAGGUGGGCGCUUGGGGUCACCCUUGAGUGCUUUUGGCAGCAGUGACAGUGAGGAUGUAGCAGAGCAACAGCUCUACCUACAGGACAGACAUAGUGUGAACAGCUACCAGGAAUCUGAGACCCAGGAAAGCACUGAUCUGGAGCAACUGUUCAAGAGUUUCGCUGGUAUUCAGAGUGAUAGUGAGGAGAGCACAAAUUACCACACUAUCAAUCACACUUUUGAUGAGACCAAUGGAGUGCUGGAGGAAGCAAGCAACACAAAGGACAAAAGAAGUUCAGAUGAUUCGGACUGUACACAAACACAGCAAUCUAGCAUGUUCUACACACCCAAACACCACCCAUCCAUCUGCACAUCAUCUGGUGAAGAGCGUUCUCAGUCAUUGAGCUCAGAGGAUGAGUUGGAUGUCACAAUGGAGGUUUGUCGACCCAGCUCAUCUCCAGCAGAGGAAAAACAGGCUGUUGAAAACAGUCUGAGUGAAUACCGUCUUGCUCAAGAGGACUCAAAGGAUUCUGAAUCUAUUACCCCUGUGCACAGGUGCAUUCCUACCAUCAGUUGUUUGCCAGACCUGGCUGAGAUUGCAGACCUCUCCAGCAUAUCCUGUUCACCAGCCCAUCACCAAGAAUGGGUGGAGUCAGCUGAAGCCCCGCCCAUCCCUCUCAGCAGAGGACAUCCACCCUGUAACAGCACCCCACGCAGCCCAAAAGACUGUAGGACACACCUUCAAUAUGUGCAGGUUGGCACUGAACACCUCCAGAGCCUGUUGGACUCGUCACCAUGGGGCAGUGCGCCAUCCCAUACUGUCUGCACAGAGAGUUACGCCACAGCCAGCGCAGGAGACAGCAGCACAACAAAUGCCUCUGUGUCCAGCGUCCUGCAGUCUCCAGUGUUAAUCAACAUCUCUAAGGAUGGAAGAGAGAAAAUAGACUCUCCCUCCAGCGGUAAUGCAGAGUUCACCACUGCCAGCUGUGGAGCCAGACAGACCACUGAGACCAGCCAGGGAGCCAGUGAAGAGAUAGAGCAUCCUAUUAAGAAUAAUGAUGUGGAUGAGGAGGGAGAGGAAGUAGGUGACGGCCCGUCAGAUUCUGAACAUCAAUGUGAGCAAGAGUCCUCUGAUAAAAAGGUAGUUUGAUGAUGAAGACAUUGCAGAGAGGAUGGAAGGGUGUGAGGGUGAAAACCCAUGUCAGAUACAUA